rnacentral:rRNA from 1 species
UACGUAGGGGGCUAGCGUUGUCCGGAUUUAUUGGGCGUAAAGAGCGUGUAGGCGGCCAGGUAGGUCUGCUGUGAAAACUCGAGGCUCAACCUCGAGAUGUCGGCGGAAACCAUCUGGCUAGAGUCCGGAAGAGGAAAGUGGAAUUCCUGGUGUAGCGGUGAAAUGCGCAGAUAUCAGGAGGAACACCAGUGGCGAAGGCGGUUGCCUGGGGCUUUGCUGACGCUGAUGCGCGAAAGCGUGGGGAGCGAUCCGG